rnacentral:rRNA from 1 species
GACGUAGGGGGCGAGCGUUGUCCGGAUUUAUUGGGCGUAAAGCGCGCGCAGGCGGCUCGGAAAGUCGGGUGUGAAAACCCGGGGCUCAACCCCGGACCUGCAUCCGAUACUCCCGGGCUAGAGGCAGGUAGGGGAGAUCGGAAUUCCUGGUGUAGCGGUGAAAUGCGCAGAUAUCAGGAGGAACACCGGUGGCGAAGGCGGAUCUCUGGGCCUGUCCUGACGCUCAGGCGCGAAAGCAUGGGGAGCAAACAGG